rnacentral:lncRNA from 1 species
UAUGUGGGGUCAAAUUAUUCUACUAAAAAUUGGCAAAAGUGUCUCUAGUUUUCAUAAAUUAUUAUGCUAAAACCAAAAUUGCUUAAGGCUAAAGGUGAACUUUUCGUUUGUCUUUCCAGUUAAAGGUCAUGACUUAAGAAUCAACUAGAGGUUAUGAGACAUGAACAGCUGGCUAUAGAGAUUAUGUCAAAGAAAAUAAUAUGCUUUAUUUUUAAGAUCAUGACUUAUGACACCAAAAUGAAAUGCUCUUGGCAAGGAAUAGAAAUACUGCCCUUGGAGGUUAUUAGGUAUAAACUAGCUGGGGGGGACAGAAGCAAUGGAGAAGAUGCCAAGUAAUUUAUAAAACGAAAUAACAGAGAAUAGAAUCAUAGGGUAAAUCUGACAUCUUCAGAGUGACUAUAGCAAUGAAAGAAGUAUGUGUAAUAAACAAAAUGAACUUGAGACAUUUAACCCAAUGAAAUCCAUACAAGGUUUUUACUCAAUGAGAUGUUCCACUGCACUAAAUCCCUUACACCUCAGGAAAAGGUGAUCUUUCCUCAUCCUCCUCUACCUAAGUCUUCAAAUGUGUAAUGCUCUACACGGGGCAAGACAUUUUCCCCUGAUUUCUUCACAGCAAUCACUUUGUGCUCUGAAGCAUGAGAUUCAAUUACCCAUAUAAUAUACAUCGCUACAAGAUAAGGGGUCUUCAUUUUUCUUUUUUAACCUGACCGCAAUACAUUAUCGCAUAGAAUAAAAUUGAGAAUUCCUUAA